AGAGUUUGAUCCUGGCUCAGAACGAACGCUGGCGGCAGGCCUAACACAUGCAAGUCGAACGGUAAGGCCCUUCGGGGUACACGAGUGGCGAACGGGUGAGUAGCACGUGGGUAAUCUGCCCUGCACAUCGGGAUAAGCCUGGGAAACUGGGUCUAAUACCGAAUAGGACCACAGGACACAUGUCCUGUGGUGGAAAGCUUUUGCGGUGUGGGAUGGGCCCGCGGCCUAUCAGCUUGUUGGUGGGGUGAUGGCCUACCAAGGCGACGACGGGUAGCCGGCCUGAGAGGGUGUCCGGCCACACUGGGACUGAGAUACGGCCCAGACUCCUACGGGAGGCAGCAGUGGGGAAUAUUGCACAAUGGGCGAAAGCCUGAUGCAGCGACGCCGCGUGGGGGAUGACGGCCUUCGGGUUGUAAACCUCUUUCACCAUCGACGAAGGUCCGGGUUUUCUCGGGCUGACGGUAGGUGGAGAAGAAGCACCGGCCAACUACGUGCCAGCAGCCGCGGUAAUACGUAGGGUGCGAGCGUUGUCCGGAAUUACUGGGCGUAAAGAGCUCGUAGGUGGUUUGUCGCGUUGUUCGUGAAAUCUCACGGCUUAACUGUGAGCGUGCGGGCGAUACGGGCAGACUUGAGUACUGCAGGGGAGACUGGAAUUCCUGGUGUAGCGGUGGAAUGCGCAGAUAUCAGGAGGAACACCGGUGGCGAAGGCGGGUCUCUGGGCAGUAACUGACGCUGAGGAGCGAAAGCGUGGGGAGCAAACAGGAUUAGAUACCCUGGUAGUCC
rnacentral:rRNA from 1 species